GUUAUAUGUUGGUGCGCGUUUACUUGGACAAUGGUUUUCGAAUCAAGUAUGACAAAACCUUUGGCGCCUUUAUCCCAGUGGAAGAAAACUUCUUCAUCAACGUAUUUGCGUACAAUUCAAACAUUCUUCUCCAUUCCUAAAAUUACUGUCAACUUCAAGAUUUCCCAGCGAAUCACAGCAAUCUAUUUUCAAGCUUCACGGAAGCUGUUAUAUUUCCUACACAAAGCUCCUUUCACAGCUUUCCCAAACAAAGUCUUUGAACCCGGGUCUUCGAAUCCAAGCUCAUUUAACCAAAAUUGAAUUAUCAAAUGAUAGCAAACAUAAGAAACCACUUAAUUAGUUUUUAUUUAAAAUGUGGUACUUUUGACUAUGCAUGAAAACUGAUCGAUGAAAGUCCUGAACCAAUUUGGUUUCUUGGUCAUCUUUGAUAUCUGGAUAUACCCAGAAUAGUUUUAGUAACGAUUCUAUCUGGGCUUUCUUCAAAAAGCAUUCUUUGGGUCUUAAAUGUAAUGACUUCACUUUUCCUAAUGUGCUUAAGGCAUGUUCUACUGAGAAGGAACUUCUAUUAAGAAAGCAGCUUCAUGGGAUUGUUGUGGUGACAGGGUUUGAGUUUGAUGUUUUCAUCGCGAAUACUUUGGUUGUUAUGUAUGCAAAAUGUGGCGAGCUUUUUGAUUCUAGGUUGUUGUUUGAGGAAAUUCCGGAGAAAAAUGUUAUUUCUUGGAAUGCUUUGUUUUCUUGUUACCCACAAAAUGCUUUUUUCAGUGAGGCUAUGUGUAUGUUUCUUGACAUGAUUGAUAGAGAGGUGAUGCCUGGUGAGUAUAGUUUAUCCAAUAUACUGAAUGCUUGUACUGGUUUAGGAGACAUUGUUCAAGGGAAGAAAAUUCAUGGAUUUUGGUAAAGCUUGGUUAUGAUUCUGAUCCUUUCUCGUCUAAUGCUACUUGUCGACAUGUAUGCCAAAGGGGGAGAUAUUAAGGAUGCAAUUACAGUUUUUGAGGUAAUGCAAUAGCCUGACAUUGUUACAUGGAAUGCUAUUAUAGCUGGUUGUUUUCUUCAUGAAUGUCACCCGCAGGCUUUAGACAUGUUGAAUCAGCUGAGGAGGUCUGGAAUUUUCCCUAAUAUGUUCACUUUAUCAAGUGCUCUCAAGGCCUGUGCUGCAUUGGAGCUUCCAGAAUAUGGUAAAGGGUUACAUUCUCUUUUGAUAAAGAAAGAUAUCAUAUUGGAUCCAUUCAUGAGUGUUGGUCUUAUUGAUAUGUAUUGCAAGUGUGAUUUGACCAAGGAUGCGAGGUUGAUCUAUGAUCUGAUGCCCGAGAAGGAUUUAAUUGCAUUGAAUGCUAUUAUCUCUGGUUACCCACAGAAAGAGGAAGACGAGGAAUAUCUAGACCUUUUUGUUCAGAUGUACAAUCAAGGAAUUAGAUCUGAUCAGACGAGUUUACUUGCCGUCCUCAAGUGUGCUGCUUCUUGCAGGCUGCUUAUGUUUGCAAACAAGCACAUGCACUUUUAUGAAGUCAGGAUUUCAGUGUGACACAUUUGCCGUAAACAGUCUUGUUGAUUCUUAUGGAAAAUGUAGCCUGCUGGAUGACGCAACUACAAAUUUUGACGAGUUCCCUAUACCGGAUUUUCCAUCUUUUACCUCUCUUAUAACCGCUUAUGCUCUAUAUGGCCAGGGUGAAGAUGCUAUGAAACUCUACCUGAAGUUGCAAGAUAUGGGACUCAAGCCAGAUUCAUUUGUUUACAGUUCUCUCCUAAAUGCAUGUGCAAAUCUAUCAGCAUAUGAACAGGGGAAACAAAUACAUGCUCAUGUAUUGAAACAGGGGCACAUGCACCCUUCAUCAAAAAAUUUCGUCAAUAUGUAUGUAUAGAUAAUACGAAAAAUACAUAAUACUUGAUAUAAAUAUAAAAAAUGACACUGCAUAUCCUUAUAGUGAUUUAUUUAUUUGUUCACUUUUUCAAAUGUUGACACAGCUUACAAAAAUUCUUGCUUAUGCCAUUGUAUUAAAAUAUGUGCUCAUGUCAGAUGUAUUUGCUGGUAACUCCCUAGUGAACAUGUAUGCCAAAUGUGGAAGUAUAGAGGAUGCUAACCGUGCUUUCGUUGAGGUUCCUAAGAAAGGUAUUGUUUCAUGGUCGGCAAUGAUUGGAGGACUUGCCCAACAUGGACAUGCAAAAGGGGCGCUUCAUUUAUUUGGCGAGAUGCUGAAUGAUGGCGUAUUUCCCAAUCACAUAACAUUGGUUAGUGUCCUCUGUGCAUGUAACCAUGUUGGCUUAGUUGCAGAAGCCAAGAAGUAUUUUGACACAAUGACAGAUUCAUUGAUUUGGGACUGAACCAACUCAAGAGCAUUAUGCCUGCAUGAUCAAUGUCCUUGGGCGGGCAGGAAAACUAGAUGACGCUAUUAUUCUCAUAAAGAUGCCUUUUGAAGCUAAUUCAACUGUCUGGGGUGCUCUUCUGGGUGCUGCAGGAUUCCAUUUGAUUUUAGAGGUACCGCAAUGUGCUGCUGAGAUGCUUUUUUAUCUUGAACCAGAUAAAUCUGGCACUCAUGUUCUUCUUGCAAACAUUUAUGCAUCAAUUGGGUUGUGGGAAAAUGUUGCAAAAGUAAGAAGACUGAUGAAAGACAGUAAACUGAAAAAGGAACCUGGAGUUGGAUUGAGGUCAAAGAUAGUGUUUAUACAUUUAUAGUGGGAGGCGGAAGCCACUCUAGAAGUGAAAAUAUAUAUGCCAAAUUGGAGGAGUUGGGACAGUUAAUGACUAAAGCUGGUUAUGUUCCAAUGGUAGAGAUUGAUCUCCAUGAUGUGGAAAAGAGACAAAAAGAGAUCCUUUUCUCCCACCAUAGUGAGAAACUAGCUGUUGCAUUUGGGCUGAUUGUUACACCUCCUGGUGCUCCUAUUAGAGUGAAGAAGAACCUCCGGAUAUGUUUGGACUGCCAUACAGCUUGUUUCAAAUUCAUUUGUAAAAUUGUCUCUAGAGAGAUCAUUAUUAUAGUAUUAACCUAUUCUACCAUUUUAAGGACGGUUCUUGUUCAUGUGGUGAUUAUUCGUAGCACUUGAAGGAUUACCUCUUUCAUUUGGCUAGAAGACCCACUGAGCAAGUUUACACUUUCUAAUUCGCCUGGAGCUGAUAAGAGGCUGAUGGUGCAUGUCUCCACAAUCUCCAGUAUCAAAAUCAAUAACUAGUUCAACAGUUAGAUGCCAGAAACAUAAAUUGCAUGAUCUUGAAGGCAAAAGGAAAGAAUUAUGGGACAGUGAAGCUUCUUAUGAUUACUUCUUGAUUAAAUCGGAUCUGGAAUCAGCUAACUUCUUUACUCAUCCUAAUAGUCUGGUGUCUGAAUGGCUUAAAUAACCUAACUUGUGAUUUGCGUCGUUUUGAUGGUCUUCUAAGUGAUCUGAUUCUUCUUGGAGCAUGCAGUGUGGCAGAUCAAUUUGCUUUGCAAAUCUGGGAUCAUCUGGAUUAUUCCGGAGAUGCUAUCAUUCUUUUAAGGAAGGUUGAUGCUACGAUGAAAGAGGAGGCUAAUUAUCUCCGUUAAGUGAUUGAUGUUCUUUAUUUCAAACACAAAGAAUGGGCUGAUGCAAUUGAAGCUUAUAGUCAAAGCCAUUCAGUGCUUCAAUCUGAGUUAAAACGCCUUGAAGGUAGUUGCAACAUUUCUUUAUUUCAUGCGAGGACACAAUAUUUUGAGGUGUCCGUAUAUGAGAGCUCUAAAGUACAAUCAGUAUUCUGCUUAUAGUCAACAUUGAUAUCAAAUUAUAGAGACAUACUUAUGUGGCUGUUGGAAUUGGUAUGUAAUGUUUAUCUUCAACCAUGGUCUAUCUAUGAUGGCAUGGAAUUGAAAGCUAAGAGCUCCAAAUAGAAAACCUGUAUCAUCAGUUACCGUCCAGCCAACUUAUACAAAGAGUGCUGUGCCUGCUACAGAGUGGAAACCUGCUUCUGAGUCAAACUCAAUGUCCCAGGCAGAUGAAGGUUUAUGUCAAGAAGGGGAAUCAAAAUCUGUCUACCUGAGGAAUUUGCCAUAUCCAAUGUACUAGUCUAGAUUUUUUGCAAGAGUUUAAGAACUUUGGGAAGAAUAAGCAGAAUGGAGCAUUCUUGGAAAAGCGCAAAGUAGUUUUUUCCCGUUGUCAAUAUUAUAUGCUUCAAUUGUCUUACAUGCUCUAAUAUUUCGAUUGCAAUUGAUGGAUAGAAUAUCAGCAUUUGCUAUACCUUUGUUGAGUUUGAAUACCUCAGGGUUUCCAAAAUGCAAUUAAGGUAUGAAAUUUGAAAUCAUGAUUCAUUGAUUUGGUGUGUGUUUUCGUGGAGGAUUUGAGUUGCAUUUCUAGUUGUUGGUAAAAGCUGCUCUUAACUUUUUUUUUUUAACCUUCUGUCCUGUAAGAUUCCUAGCAGAUUGUUCACUCAAAUCUUAAUUUUAGCUAGCUUUCUAGUACUAAAUCGCAUUAGUAAGGUCCGUGCUUGAAAUAUUUCUGAUCACAUAGAUCGAUGAUCUUUUAUUUAAUGGUUGUGGAACUUGCAUUCAGUAGAUAAAACAUUUUCUGAAGCAAUAUGAUGCAGUUAGUUGUCUUGAGUAAUAGUUGUAAGUGGAAGGUGUACGUCCACGAAUUAUUGCCACAAUCUCAUAUUCAUACAUUACUUUGUUAUCUCAUCCCUUGUAUACCUAGUAUAUGAUGCUUUCUCUUCCCUGUUCUUAGGCAUUACCCGUACCAUUGACUGGAAGGCAAGUUUACAUUGAGGAAAGUAGAUCAAUCAGCUGUAGUGUUUCUCGUGGAGAUAGUCUGUAGCUUAAAAUUAAUUUCAAUUUCACAUUGUGGUACUUAUAUCUCUUUAUGCUUUUCUUAGAGAUUUGUUCUAUCUUUUGCUUGCUUGAGUAGUUCUUUGGUAGAAUCAAUUAACAUUAUCCUUGUAUGCAGGAUAUAAUCUCUUGGUCAUGACUUUUAAUCUCCACGUUCUUUAGUUAGACUGUGUAUGGAGAUUUCCUGUUUCAUUUGGACUAAUGCCCUAGUCACAGUUAAUGCUAAUUCCUCCCUACGAUGAUGGUACUACAAUCCAAGAUGAAAUACUGUUAUUUUUAUUGUUCAAUGCAGCUUGUCAGAAUGUCUUGAGCAAAGCUAAAUGGUAUGGUGGUGACAUCAAGCUGCUUCUUCAUAAUCCAUGUCCCCCAACUCUCCUGAUUGUAAUAUGGUAUUAAACAUGGGUAGUCAAUCAACCACGACAGCAGAAGUAAUACAGAAGUACUGUGCAUCAGUUUUAUUACUACCUUAGAGGCUUAAUUACAG